UACAGAGGGUGCAAGCGUUAUUCGGAUUUACUGGGCGUAAAGCGCAUGUAGGUGGUUUGACAAGUUCGGUGUGAAAGCCCCCGGCUCAAUCGGGGAAGUGCACUGAAUACUGUCAGACUGGAGUACAGGAGAGGAGGAUGGAAUUCCCGGUGUAGAGGUGAAAUUCGUAGAUAUCGGGAGGAACAACAGAGGCGAAGGCGAUCCUCUGGACUGUCACUGACACUGAGGUGCGAAAGCGUGGGGAGCAAACAGG
rnacentral:rRNA from 1 species